rnacentral:rRNA from 1 species
UUUGAUCCUGGCUCAGGACGAACGCUGGCGGCGUGCUUAACACAUGCAAGUCGAACGGUGAAGGGACCAGCUUGGCUGGUUCUGGAUGAGUGGCGAACGGGUGAGUAACACGUGAGUAACCUGCCCCUUCUUCUGGAUAACCGCAUGAAAGUGUGGCUAAUACGGGAUAUUCUGGGUCUGUCGCAUGACGGGCCCGGGAAAGAUAUUGUUUCGGUGGGGAUGGGCUCGCGGCCUAUCAGCUUGUUGGUGGGGUAAUGGCCUACCAAGGCGGUGACGGGUAGCCGGCCUGAGAGGGUGGACGGUCACACUGGGACUGAGACACGGCCCAGACUCCUACGGGAGGCAGCAGUGGGGGAAUAUUGCACAAUGGGCGCAAGCCUGAUGCAGCGACGCCGCGUGAGGGAUGGAGGCCUUCGGGUUGUAAACCUCUUUCGCCAGUGAAGCAGGCCUGCUCCUUGUGGGUGGGUUGACGGUAGCUGGAUAAGAAGCGCCGGCUAACUACGUG